AUAUAGUUGUACUAUUUAUGUAUGAUAUGCGACAAUGUGCAUCAGGUUUUGUUUCAGAUUUAAUGUUAUGGGUGAGAUCUAAAACAAUCCAGUUUUUGCCUGCUUUUACAAUUAACAAAAUUGAAAUCCCAUACAUUUUCUGGUUGAAGAUAUCUAAAUAUACAAGCUAGGAAAUGCAAUUGUCUAUCUCUAUAAAACAACUUGAAAUUUUGUUGAAAGAGUUGUACUAAGUAUUUAUCAAAACGCAGCCAGUGGGAGUUUGAGCAGUUAUGCACACCAAGAGGCUUGUUCUGUUGAAAUGUAGAUUUGGUUGAUGCACAAGCUACAACAGCUAAAUGAUUUACUCAAUAAAGUCAUAGUUAUUCAAGUAUAAAUUAAAAAUAAAUAAAUUAUACACAGAUGAAAAUAGGAAGAUUAAAAUGUUUUAACCUAUUCAAAUGGUGGAAUUUGGUGGCAGUAGUUGCAGAAAACUUUUUGAAUUGGUCACUUCCUGAGCAUGGGGUAGAACCCAUAGAAAAUGAAGAUCCGGUUCUACACUCAUAGCCACCAAGAUCACCUGAUUUCACCCCAUGUGCCUAUUUCUUAUUGGGUUACAUCAAGGAAGCCGUUUAUGUCUCGCCUCUACCAGCAACUCUGGUUGAUCUGAAGAACUGAAUCACUGCUACUGGGCACUCAGUAACAGAAGAUAUGCUUUCUCUUGUGUGGGACAAGUUUGGCUACCAUUGAGGCCAAGCUAACUCCCUCUACUGGGCCUCUAGGCUGUAAAAUGAAAAAGGCAAUGAUAGCAGAUGCUUACCAUCAUGAGUGGCUCAGAUUAUGCUUUUUGAUGUGCCCAGAACUCUUGAUCAUGUGAAAAACUCAACUACUGAACUACGACAUACGUCUUCAGGCCAACUAGCAUCCAAGGUGAUUUCGUAAGUGGUCAUUAAGAAUUGUGUUUGGCUAUAUAGAGAAUUAUCACGUUAUUCCGGCUCUACCCUGGGCUUGAUAAUCUUUGCAAUUUUAAAAUCUAGAUCUGCCAAAUAUAUAUUUGUAGUCAUAUUUUCCCUGAUACCGGUAAUUACAAUGAAAAAUAAUGAUGCUUAUCAAUUCUAACAAUGAAUGGCUCGUCUACACCUUGAUUUUCAUGGAAUAUACGUAGAACACCCAUUCGGCUCUCGCCUAAGUAUGAAAAAACGAUUUACUCAUUUUAUAUUGAAUAUCUAAUGCCAAUUUAAAUUGCAAAUUUUAAUUUUCAUUCCAAUCUUUGCUUCUCACUUUUGCAAAGCCUUACUAUGCUCUUCCUAAAAAUAAAUGCUCAGCUGCAAGUAAUAUCAUGACACUCUCGAAUUCUCAUGGAUAAGCUCUCGAACGCAUACUAUGUACGGUUUCAGGCGUCUGACGCGCUCACGAAACAACUUUGACAAACAUUUAUUAAAUGUAAACUGACUUCAUUGUUGAUCGACCAGAGUUGUUUAGUACAUGUAUGAUCGAUCAUACACAUGUUGACUUGCGUAUGAUCUAAGUCGGAUUUUUUUUGCUGAAGAAAUGUAUUCAUGCAUAACGUUUUAAUAAAGUUUUUCUUUUAAGUA